UAAGCUACGUCUUAGUCGGUUCCU
rnacentral:siRNA from 1 species